rnacentral:tRNA from 1 species
CAGUAAAUAGUUUAUAUAAAAUAUUAAUUUUGGAGAUUAAAGAAGAGCCAUGGCUUUUUACUGA